UACGGGGGGAGCAAGCGUUGUUCGGAUUUACUGGGCGUAAAGGGCGCGUAGGCGGCCAGCACAAGUCAGUUGUGAAAUCUCCGAGCUUAACUCGGAAAGGUCAACUGAUACUGUGCGGCUAGAGUGCGGAAGGGGCAACUGGAAUUCUUGGUGUAGCGGUGAAAUGCGCAGAUAUCAGGAGGAACACCAGUAGCGAAGGCGGCUCGCUGGGCCACACCUGACGCUGAGACGCGAAAGCUAGGGGAGCGAACAGG
rnacentral:rRNA from 1 species